CAAGUGGUAAAGCGUCUCCACUAGUAAUGAGAAGAUCGGCGGUUCGAUUCCGCCACGAGGCA
rnacentral:tRNA from 1 species